GAUGAACGCUGGCGGCGCGCCUAAUACAUGCAAGUCGAGCGAAUGGAUUAAGAGCUUGCUCUUAUGAAGUUAGCGGCGGACGGGUGAGUAACACGUGGGUAACCUGCCCAUAAGACUGGGAUAACUCCGGGAAACCGGGGCUAAUACCGGAUAACAUUUUGAACCGCAUGGUUCGAAAUUGAAAGGCGGCUUCGGCUGUCACUUAUGGAUGGACCCGCGUCGCAUUAGCUAGUUGGUGAGGUAACGGCUCACCAAGGCAACGGUGCGUAGCCGACCUGAGAGGGUGAUCGGUCACACUGGGACUGAGACACGGCCCAGACUCCUACGGGAGGCAGCAGUAGGGAAUCUUCCGCAAUGGACGACAGUCUGACGGAGCAACGCCGCGUGAGUGAUGAAGGCUUUCGGGUCGUAAAACUCUGUUGUUAGGGAAGAACAAGUGCUAGUUGAAUAAGCUGGCACCUUGACGGUACCUAACCAGAAAGCCACGGCUAACUACGUGCCAGCCGCCGCAGUAA
rnacentral:rRNA from 1 species